GACAGUGCUUAGAGAAACACUAAUUCUGUGACUCUGCUGGAGACCUGGGUGUUUGGUCUGCAGACAGCUUGAUCAACAACGGACACUUGCAAACCUCAGAGGCUAUCAAACCACCAUCACAACCUGUGGCUCCAGCUUGCUCCCUCCUUCAGCCAAGGAAUUGCUCUAUUGCUCAGAGCGAUUGCAGUGUGGCAUCACUGCUCGCCCUUAGCCUGUGCCACUUGUUAAAGACUGAGAACAUGGGAAUAUGGGUUGUUUUCUGCCAACAGAGGGUGGAAAGGAAAGAUGAGCCACUUCAAGCAAAGGUCCUGCUGAGACUGUGCAAAGAGUCAGGUUGUUUUGGAGGCAGGAGAAAAACAACUGCUCCUUCCUUCCUCUUGGAAAUGAUUUUGCCUUGGCCCAGCCUUUACAAAAUGGAAUUAGAAAGCCCUGCUGAGCAUUGGGAGCUGGCGGGAGCCAUCAUCCAGCCAAUUCAUCAUAACAGGAGCUCAGUAUCUAAUAAGCAGGUAAUAAAUGCGCUAAGUGUCCACCUUUAACUUGCCUGUGUGCCUCCCCACAGAGGCAGACCCCGGGCUGCAGCUGCUGACGAGGAGACGUCACCAUGCCUGAUAAGCAGAUGAUGUCAGGCCUGCUGGAACGAUAGC
rnacentral:lncRNA from 1 species